AGAGUUUGAUCAUGGCUCAGAACGAACGUUGGCGGCGUGCUUAACACAUGCAAGUCGAACGAGAAAGUUCCUUCGGGAAUGAGUAAAGUGGCGCACGGGUGAGUAACGCGUAAGUAAUCUACCUUGGCAUUUGGAAUAACUACGGGAAGCUGUAGCUAAUACCGGAUACGUUCAUAUAAUUUCGAUUAUAUGAAGAAAGAUGACCUCUUCUUAAAAGUUAUCGUGCUAAGAGGAGCUUGCGUACCAUUAGCUAGUUGGUAGGGUAAUGGCCUACCAAGGCAACGAUGGUUAGCGGGUCUGAGAGGAUGAUCCGCCACACUGGAACUGGAACACGGACCAGACUCCUACGGGAGGCAGCAGUGAGGAAUAUUGCGCAAUGGGGGAAACCCUGACGCAGCGACGCCGCGUGGAUGAUGAAGGCCUUAGGGUCGUAAAAUCCUGUCAGAUGGGAAGAAAUGUAUGUAGGAAUAAUACCCUAUGUGCUUGACGGUACCAUCAAAG
rnacentral:rRNA from 1 species